UUAUUUUAGUAGUGUGCUCUCAAUAUUAAAUUCUCCUAACACACUGUACAGUUUAUAGCUUUCUUUAUGCAAAGUGAUUCUUGUUGUAAUUCAAAAAGCUGUUCUUUCCACUGAUCUGAUUGGCUGAGAGCAGAUCCAGGUCCCGCCUCUGAUGCUUUAUGAAAGCUGGCUUCGCUCUGUUCAUCACUCUGCUGAUCAGACUGACAUCAUGCUGCUCACCGUCUGCGCUCUGCUCCCUGCUCUGGCAGUGGUCAGCUCACACAAACUACUGACGCAAAAGCCUCCAGUUAUAACAGUAGAUAAGGGGAACUCUGUCACUAUGGACUGUAACAUCGCAAAGGAUUACACUCAUGUCGCUUGGCAUAAACAGAUUCCACCAGCAGCUCCAGAGUUUGUUUUGAGAUUUUAUUAUUCUGACUCCGCUCCUGAUAAAUACGGAGACAAUUUUUCAUCCACACGCUUCACAUCUAAAGCCUCAUCAAGCAUCGACUAUCAGUUAAUAAUCAGUAAUGUGGAGGUGGGAGACUCAGCAGUGUAUUACUGUGGGACAUGGGACAAGUCUGCUAAUGUAGCUGUAUUACAGUGA